rnacentral:rRNA from 1 species
AGAGUUUGAUCCUGGCUCAGGACGAACGCUGACGGUGUGCUUUAGGCAUGCAAGUCGAACGAGAAAGCCCUUUGGGGUGAGUAAAGUGGCGAACGGGUGAGUAACACGUGGGCAACCUGCCCCUCGCAGGGGGACAACCGGAGGAAACUCCGGCUAAUACCCCGUAAGCUCUACACGCCGCAUGGCGAGUAGAGGAAAGGUAGCUUCGGCCAUCCGGCGAGGGAUGGGCCCGCGGUGCAUUAGCUAGUUGGUGGGGUAACGGCCCACCAAGGCGACGAUGCGUAGCUGGUCUGAGAGGAUGAUCAGCCACACUGGGACUGAGACACGGCCCAGACUCCUACGGGAGGCAGCAGCCAGGAAUCUUGGGCAAUGGGCGAAAGCCUGACCCAGCAACACCGUGUGGGUGAUGAAGGCCUUCGGGUCGUAAAGCCCUGUUGAUAGGGACGAAGGGCGAAGGGUUAAUAGCCCCUAGCCUGACGGUACCUUUCGAGGAAGCCCCGGCUAACUACGUGCCAGCAGCCGCGGUAAUACGUAGGGGGCGAGCGUUGUCCGGAAUUAUUGGGCGUAAAGAGCGUGUAGGCGGUUCGGUAAGUCUGUCGUGAAAACCUGGGGCUCAACCCCGGGCGUGCGGUGGAUACUGCCGGGCUAGAGGGUGGUAGAGGCGAGUGGAAUUCCCGGUGUAGCGGUGAAAUGCGCAGAUAUCGGGAGGAACACCAGUAGCGAAGGCGGCUCGCUGGGCCAUUCCUGACGCUGAGACGCGAAAGCUAGGGGAGCAAACAGGAUUAGAUACCCCGGUAGUCC